GAUGAACGCUGGCGGCGUGCCUAAUACAUGCAAGUCGAGCGAACGGACGAGAAGCUUGCUUCUCUGAUGUUAGCGGCGGACGGGUGAGUAACACGUGGAUAACCUACCUAUAAGACUGGGAUAACUUCGGGAAACCGGAGCUAAUACCGGAUAAUAUUUUGAACCGCAUGGUUCAAAAGUGAAAGACGGUCUUGCUGUCACUUAUAGAUGGAUCCGCGUUGCAUUAGCUAGUUGGUAAGGUAACGGCUUACCAAGGCAACGAUGCAUAGCCGACCUGAGAGGGUGAUCGGCCACACUGGAACUGAGACACGGUCCAGACUCCUACGGGAGGCAGCAGUAGGGAAUCUUCCGCAAUGGGCGAAAGCCUGGCGGAGCAACGCCGCGUGAGUGAUGAAGGUCUUCGGAUCGUAAAACUCUGUUAUUAGGGAGGAACAUAUGUGUAAGUAACUGUGCACAUCUUGACGGUACCUAAUCAGAAAGCCACGGCUAACUACGUG
rnacentral:rRNA from 1 species